rnacentral:rRNA from 1 species
UACGUAGGGCGCAAGCGUUGUCCGGAAUUAUUGGGCGUAAAGAGCUCGUAGGCGGUGUGUCGCGUCGGCCGUGAAAACCUGCAGCUUAACUGUGGGCUUGCGGUCGAUACGGGCAUCACUGGAGUUCGGCAGGGGAGUCUGGAAUUCCUGGUGUAGCGGUGAAAUGCGCAGAUAUCAGGAGGAACACCGGUGGCGAAGGCGGGACUCUGGGCCGAUACUGACGCUGAGGAGCGAAAGCGUGGGGAGCAAACAGG